GACUUCUACACAGAGCAAAGGAGGGUUCUUCUCUUGAACCCUAAAUCACAAAAAUUCAGCAAAUUAAAAGAGAAAUCGAGCCGGGAAAUUGGGGCUUUUAAUAAAAACGUGAUCACCAAGCUUAGGGAAUCACAAGUUUGACGCUUGACAAGCUAGGUGGAGGCUUGGAAAGGAAGCGGGUCGAACGAAUCAAGUGCGAAGGAAAAGCAUGUUUCGGAUGCAAGGAAUGUUUUAUGGAACUCCGGAUGAGGAUCAAGCAAGAAAGGAGAACCAAACACAUGUCUCAAAGCUUCCGCAACGAUCUUAUUUUGUUAUAGUUUAAAAAGUGGAUAUUGUAAACACUUGAAAUUAUAUUUUGGAAUGUUUUAAAUUAUGUAAGAAGUUUAACUUGGAAAAGUUUUUGUAA